rnacentral:rRNA from 1 species
UGGGGAAUUUUGGACAAUGGGGGAAACCCUGAUCCAGCCAUCCCGCGUGUGCGAUGAAGGCCUUCGGGUUGUAAAGCACUUUUGGCAGGAAAGAAACGUCAUGGGUUAAUACCCCGUGAAACUGACGGUACCUGCAGAAUAAGCACCGGCUAACUACGUGCCAGCAGCCGCGGUAAUACGUAGGGGGCAAGCGUUAAUCGGACUUACUGGGCGUAAAGCGUGCGCAGGCGGUUCGGAAAGAAAGAUGUGAAAUCCCAGAGCUCAACUUUGGAACUGCAUUUUUAACUACCGGGCUAGAGUGUGUCAGAGGGAGGUGGAAUUCCGCGUGUAGCAGUGAAAUGCGUAUAUAUGCGGAGGAACACCGAUGGCGAAGGCAGCCUCCUGGGAUAACACUGACGCUCAUGCACGAAAGCGUGGGGAGCAAACAGG